CCACUUGCCAGACAACCGUACAUAAAAGUAGAACAACCUACAUACUACAGAGGUGCAAUCUCAGCGUCAACCACAUCACAUGCUUCAGCAUAUGGAGGAGACUAAACCAACUAGACAUUUUUCUUCAUUUCAGCACCCCAUGUAUAACUCUAGGUACCUGCAGAAUAAUCAAUGUCAUGUCAGUAACCCAAAUUGUACUACUCACUCCCAAAAGAAGUCAAAUUUUGCACGAUUCCAAUAAUACAUUUUAACUUUGCCAUUGUGCAAAUUAUACAAAAGAAUCUAAAGCUGAAUCAUUGUGUGAACCAAAAUUAUACUAUUAGAAGAAAAGAAAAAUUCAAACGGAGAACAACAAUAGAAGAAAAAUUAUUCUGUAAUGGUUGACAGCAUACCUUCAACCUCUCUAGUUGAAAUGUCCUUAUGAUUUUUUGCUACAUGAGUACAUAUGAUCGCAGUAGAUCAUAAAAGAUCAUUGACUGAAUGCCUCAAAGAGAGGCAAACACUAGACUUCUUACAUUGUUCUAGAUCAACAGCAUACUAUUUAGAAAUGUGGUAUCUAGACAGUCUAGAAAUUAUUCACAUUCAUGCAUUACAACCUACAACAAUAAAUCAUGCAUAAUCUUCUAAACUAAGUAUACAAGACAAAAAAAAUGCUGCCUUAAAGACAUACGCAUAACAUGAAGAUAAAUUUACCUCACUCAUUCAACCAAGAUAGCACAUUACUACAUCACAAGAGUUCAAAGUUCCAGCUCCACCCAUUUCCACCCAACUCCCCUGCCUAAAACCAAAA
rnacentral:lncRNA from 1 species